rnacentral:misc_RNA from 1 species
UAUGUUUUAUUGCUGAGGUUCCAGGAUCCCAUUUAGCUUAGGCUGCUUUUGGGUGUUGGGAUGGGAAAUGAAGCAAUGUAGUUGCUUCGACUGGAUUUCUUUGUAUUCGAGAAUUUGUUAUGACUUGUUUUGUAUUCGUGAUAUGUUUUUAUUGCGGUACGACGUGAAUGGAACAUUUUGUGAAUAUUGUAAAUAUUCUCAAUAUUGUAAACUUUUUCUUGCGUUUGCUUGUGUAGCUAUG